CGUGUGGUUCUAUUUUGUUGGUUUCUAGGACCGCCGUAAUGAUUAAUAGGGACAGUCGGGGGCAUCAGUAUUCAAUUGUCAGAGGUGAAAUUCUUGGAUUUAUUGAAGACUAACUACUGCGAAAGCAUUUGCCAAGGAUGUUUUCAUUAAUCAGGAACGAAAGUUAGGGGAUCGAAGACGAUCAGAUACCGUCGUAGUCUUAACCAUAAACUAUGCCGACUAGGGAUCGGACGGUGUUAUUUUUUGACCCGUUCGGCACCUUACGAGAAAUCAAAGUGCUUGGGCUCCAGGGGGAGUAUGGUCGCAAGGCUGAAUCUUAAAGAAAUUGACGGAAGGGCACCACCAGGGGUGGAGCCUGCGGCUUAAUUUGACUCAACACGGGGAAACUCACCAGGUCCAGACACAAUGAGGAUUGACAGAUUGAGGGCUCUUUCUUGAUUUUGUGGGUGGUGGUGCAUGGCCGUUCUUAGUUGGUGGAGUGAUUUGUCUGCUUAAUUGCGAUAACGAACGAGACCUUAACCUGCUAAAUAGCCCGUAUUGCUUUGGCAGUACGCUGGCUUCUUAGAGGGACUAUCG
rnacentral:rRNA from 1 species